CCCCUCUUUAAAGUAUCAUAGAUAAUUAUACAACUAAACAACAGAAACCCAGCCAAUACAAGCACCAUAUGUACUUGUGCAGCAGAAGCUCAGUGCUCAACUUGGAAAUGGUGCAUUGGGUCUUGUCCCAUUGGUCACACCCGUAAGCUUAGCAACCAAAGAUUCUAGGUUCACGUCUUAGGUAGCACAUCAACAUCGUUCC
rnacentral:lncRNA from 1 species